rnacentral:rRNA from 1 species
UACGUAGGGUGCGAGCGUUUGUCCGGAAUUAUUGGGCGUAAAGAGCUCGUAGGCGGUCUGUCGCGUCGGUCGUGAAAAACCUGCAGCUUAACUGUGGGCGUGCGGUCGAUACGGGCAUGACUGGAGUUCGGCAGGGGAGACUGGAAUUCCUGGUGUAGCGGUGAAAUGCGCAGAUAUCAGGAGGAACACCGGUGGCGAAGGCGGGGUCUCUGGGCCGAUACUGACGCUGAGGAGCGAAAAGCGUGGGGGAGCAAAACAGG